CACAAGGGAUUCUCGCCGUGUUUAGAGGCCGUUAAUGUAGGUAAGAAACAUUUGAAAAAGAAAAGAAAAAAAAAAAGGUAAUUGGGUCACCUCUUGGAAGUGAACACGGAGGAACAAACAAGAAAGAAAAGAAAAAAAAGUGGGGAAAAAUUGUUUAUGACAGUGGUCUACCUUGUGUGCGACGUUGAAAUCGCGAGAAAGUUUAUUUUAUUUUCCGGUCUACUGUUUUUCAGAGCCGAUCCGCGGAGCUGCACACGCAGCAGGUCCGGUGUUCUUCAAAAUUUCUGAUAAUGGAGUAAUAGGCUACAGGGUACGUAUUCUACUCCGAAUGAUUAUACGAAGAAGUGAGCUCAGGACACACAUAUCCCGCCGAGAUCCAGAUGCACGAUGUGUAGGAGCUGUGCAAAGAUAGCCUUUAGCCAAAUAAGGACACGCGGCAGAUGGUCUAAUUGCAUAGCUGCUGUUCAACCGAACUGUUUUGAAAGCAAAUAUGAAACACAAUAAGCUUAUGCACAGGCGUGCUUUCGAGAGUCCUACUGUGACAUCUUGUUGCACAAUCACAAGUGCCGUUUCUCUCUAUUCUUUUGACAGAGACAUGAUGAUAUCGUGGGUUGAGGGAACCAAUAAGCAGACUCCAAGCGUGUACCACUAAAAUAAAAAAAAAUAAAAUGUGGGUUUUUUUUUUCAUCGACCAACGAAUGAAAUCCACAAGGUACGCUUUCUAUCUACCAUACAAGCUCUCAAUUCACUCUUUUUCUUUUUAUCUACUUUUAUUUGGACCAACAGCAGAUUCACCGCGUUGAGCAUGCGAAUUCGUGGCCUUUGUUUUCAAUUCGGUGUGGAGAGCCGAUGGUUCUUUUCUCUCUUUCUGCUCAUUUUCACUUUGUUUUCUCCUU